rnacentral:lncRNA from 1 species
CUCUGCACACAUUCUCAUAACUUCUCCCAACUUCUCCAUUCAACCGUCUGCAUUCAGAUCAUACAUCUUCCUGUUCUUCGAAAAUAUUUCGCAAUUCAUCUCAAAAUCCCUCUCGGCUCGCAUUUUCAGGUAAUUCUUUCAUUCAAAUCAAUAUCAUAAACAAUGACAAAGAUCUUCAGUUUUCACUUUAUUUAAUUCGCUAAUUUGUGAAUUUCUAGGUUCUCGAAACCUUUUCACAAAAUCCGAAUUGUUCAAGGGUAGUUAUUUUUUUGUUAAUAUAUUUAUUAGUUUACAGAUUAUGCGUCGCAUUAUUGUCACAACUGGGGGAUUUGUUAGGCAAUCUAUAUGUUAUUUUGGGGCUUAAGAAACAUGGAAAGGUUGAAAAUUAUGAAGAAUAGAGUUGUUCCGACUUUGCAUGUUAUAUUGUUGUUUUAAUUCCUCAUCCAUUAUCAUUUUCGAUCUUUUUCUUUCACAACUUUUUUGGUGGGUUUAUUACAGUUAAUUAAUACCCACAAUUAUGAGACCUCAGAUCGGGUUAAUCUUUUUUUUCUUUUUUUUUUGUAUUUAUAAAGGAAUUGUACAGUCUUAACCUUUUUCUAAUUAUUAUAGUUCUUUAAUAUAUGCUAUUAUGUUUCAAUUUUAAUUAUAAUACUUUCAAAUUACUCUGUUUUAGGAAUGAAAAUAUAUAUAUAUAUAUAUAUAUAUAUAUAUAUAUAUAUAUAUAUAUAUAUAUAUACAGUGGCGGAGCCAGGAUUUUCGGUGAGGGUGGGCUAAAGUUUUACGGGGGUUCGGGGGUAGAGCCCCCGAAAUUUUUUAAGAGUUUUUUUUUCAAAAAUUUAGAGAAAAUAGAUAGAAAUUUGUAUAUUUUUAUUAAAUUAUAUAAAUUAAAUUGCAUAUUGUCCAAAAUAUAAUUAUUGGAGCUCUCUAAAAUACAUUGCAGAUUUGUUGGGUGGGCUAAUUAUUUGGAUUAGUAUUAAAAUAGCAUAUGAAAGAAUUAACUAAACAUGAUUAGCAUUAAAAAAUUGCAUUAAGAAAAUAAACCAGGGUGGGCUUCAGCCCACCCAGAAGACAACAUAGCUCCGCCCCUAUAUAUAUAUAUAUAUAUAUAUAUAUAUAUAUAUAUAUAUAUGCUUUUCAUUUACUUCUUAUUGGCUUUAUGGUAAAUUUGACAUGGUGAAAUUGACCUUUCUGUAGUCACAUUAGGCAAGAAACUUAAGGUUUUGUUUCGAUGAAAAUCGCCAAUUGGGUAAUUCACGAGUAUGCCGAUGGAUUAAUUCAUGAUCUCCAUGACAAUUUCACAUCUCAUAAUGCACCCGUGCUGUCAACGCCGCCGCCGCGCCGGAGCUUAAUGAAGACAUGACGCUUGAUGAAGACCUAAUAGUGUAUCAUCUAUUCUAAGACUAAAGGUUUGCUAUGCUUAUUAACAAUAACUUUAAGUUGCUCCACUAGAAGAAGAUGAAGCAAAUGUUGGCUCAAUUGCGUUCUUAAGGUAUUGGGGCUUCAUGUUUGUGCCAAUACUUUGGUCGGAUGGAGAUGAAAUGACAAGGUAUUUCUUUAUAAAUGCAUUUCAUUGAAUUUUUCCAAACAAAUUAACCUAGCAUUGUUUUUCUUUCUUCCAUCUCAGAACAUCUGUGUGAGUGUCAAUUUGGCAUUGAAAGGGUAAAUGUUCACCAAGGAAUUUAUGAAACUAGAUGUCAUCUAUACUGCAGAAUACAACCAAUUAAGGGUAUAUUCUUAAGAAUUUGUUUUGUGAUCAGUUCUAGGGAUAAUAGUUUUAGGGCUUAAUUGGAUGUUUGGUUCAGUUCAUUAAUUUUAUUAUAUUUACUGAUUUUUUGUAUUCGGAGGUUUACCUUACAUGAAUAAAGUUGGCAAACGUAGACUCAAUUUUAU